AUGGUCAGUUCAGAUUGCUAUGAGAUAUACACUUUGCAGCUGUCCCCCCAGCUUGGUCUGCAGAAGAUAACAGCUGAAUGUGUUAGCAACCUGACCCCAAGCUCAUAUGUGAAACCAUGGCUGGUGGUCUGUGGUGACAUGCUUCUGAUGGUUUCCUGUUUUAGCACAUAUGUUUCAGGCUGGUCAGUAUUUGUAGCACACCACCUUGACAUGUCAACCAACCCUGCAAAAUGGGUGGAGGUAAAGCAGCUGGACAAUUGGGCACUCUUUGCUGGGGGUGAUAUGAGGAGCCGUCCAGAACGAUGGGGAGGAAGGAGCAAGUCGCUGUACUAUCCGGGCCUUCACUCUUUUAUUGUGCAUGUGGUGGGCGAUGAGCAAGAUCCAUCUGCCCGUCCUAUGAUAGAAUACAAUAGAACCUGGUGCCCCAAUCUGCAACCCCUAUGGGUGUAUCCGAGCAUGUUCUACUCAGAUUACCAGUGA
rnacentral:rRNA from 1 species